UCCUACGGGAGGCAGCAGUGGGGAAUAUUGGACAAUGGGCGCAAGCCUGAUCCAGCCAUGCCGCGUGAGUGAUGAAGGCCUUAGGGUUGUAAAGCUCUUUUACCAGGGAAGAUAAUGACGGUACCUGGAGAAUAAGCCCCGGCUAACUUCGUGCCAGCAGCCGCGGUAAUA
rnacentral:rRNA from 1 species